UGUCACCUACGGGGGGCAGCAGUAGGGAAUCUUCCACAAUGGACGAAAGUCUGAUGGAGCAACGCCGCGUGAGUGAAGAAGGGUUUCGGCUCGUAAAGCUCUGUUGAAGGGGAAAAAGAGCGGAGAGAGGAAAUGGUCUCCGAUUGAUAUUACCCUUCGAGGAAGUCACGGCUAACUACGUGCCAGCAGCCGCGGUAAUACGUAGGUGGCGAGCGUUAUCCGGAAUGAUUUGGCGUUAAGGG
rnacentral:rRNA from 1 species